rfam:Oryza meridionalis cultivar OR44 (W2112) chromosome 1, whole genome shotgun sequence.
AAUAAGUAUAGUUUUACACUAUUCAUAUCCAACAUUUGACUGUUCGUCUUAUUUAAAAAAUUCAAUGAUUAGUAUAUUUAUUAUUAUUAGAUGAUAAAACAUGAAUAUUACUUUAUGAGUGACUAACUUUUUUAAAAAAAAAUUUCAUAAAUUUUUUAAAUAAGAUGGAUUGUCAAACGUUGGACAUGAAUUUUUACGGGUGCACUUAUU